GAAGCAACUGCUCCUAAAAAUGAACUAAUCCUUUUGAAAAUGGCCUAUUGGCAGAACAUUUAUUAUAUUGUCAAAAUAGACUACAAAGUCUAAAUAGGGUCAUUUUGGUCAUAAAGUCAGUUUGGAACUGAAGGGUGGGUUUGGAUUAUAAUUAUGUCAACAAAUCAUGCCCCGUUUUGCCAAGCUCCACAUGCAAAUCACCACUCCUCCCACUUCGCUUCCCUUCUUUAAAUGGGGCUCCGUUGUUUAAUCGCCCCCAGCCAACAUGUUCAAAGGAUCACGGCCAUUUGAGACUGAAAAUUUCUAUAUGGAUUGACCAUGCAAUGCAUGCGUCCAGCAAGAAGCAUAGCCAACAACUAUGGUUUGCAUGCCCUGCCGAAGGACCCUAUCAUGCGGAAUAGGUGGUUGGAGUUUGUUGGUCCCCAGUGGUGGUGAGUAUACCGGUAACUAGACCAUAGACUGCUGGUUAUGUAUCUUGUUAUGUUUACUGAUAAUCAUUAUCACUAUCAUCGCUAACAUAGCUGAUGUUAGCUAGCUAGCUGGCUAGCGUUAGCCUACCUAAAUCCAACUCAGAUUUGGCAUGGAGAAACGUUAACAUUUCAAAAGAAGGCAAAUCAUUAAUAGGAAAGCCUUUUGUCAUGACUGAUGUUCUAAGAUUGAGGGGACCACCGUAUUUUAGUUAGCUAACAUUAGCAGUGCUAGCUAAUUUUUCUUUACAAACUUUGCUCGUAACAGUAAUGGCAACAUUGCCAUCUCUCUAAAGUUGAUUUGACGACACCAUACUAUGGCAAAGUUGUAUCAUACUAAUGUUGGUGUUUCAUACUGGAGAGGGAAUGCAAAACAACGACGCUGGACAGAGUGGAAUCAGGUGUAUCAAAAAGGCAGUUUAUUGGUCAAAGUUAUCAUGUCCUGCCGUUUAUCGUGCACGGACCUAAGGAAUGUGACUCUGUGAGGAGUCAGAAUAAUUAGGCUCCUCAGCCAGAGUUUACAGAAGAAUGUAUACACAGAAUAAUGUAGGUGGAGUCUCGUCAUGUUGGUCUUCUGACUGGUCCUGAAGAGUUGGAGGCGGGCCUUGCUCUAGCCAGAGCGGGCCCCAUUGGUGCACAGCAAAGUCCUUUGCUCUUGGCACCCGACCAGUAGGGGGGGGGUAGAGUGUGAGUGUACAGUGCUUCAUGAGAUGUAUGUGUGUCAAGGAAGCGUGGAUUUAGGGACUGGUAAUGUCUGCUUUAGGCUCAGGUGUUUCCUGUCUUUGCAGGAGUGCAUGCAAGGGUCAAUGUCAGUGAGAUAGCUUGGCACUUCUAAGCUCGUUAGUGUUGCAGGCUGCUCUUUGUAGUUUACAGGGGAGUAUAUUUGCGUGAUGGCAGCUGUGUGUCCUUCGGAUAAUCAAGUUAUUGCACACAGGCUCUAGACUUGACUGAGGACACUGGGCCCAGAGUUAUCUGAGGGCAUCCGGUUUAACCAGAGCUUUGGUCUGCUAGUAACGCUUUAUAUUAGAUUAUUUAUAUAACACUAAUUAUUUGGUUACUUUAGCGAUGUAAUCAUGUUUCCAUGCCACUCUAAGUUAGUGUCCAGGUAGGGCACAAAUAAAUAUGGUUGUUCCAGAGAUGUUAGGUUUGCAGCCAAACAUGCAGCAUAGAGACCAGCAAGAGGGCCCUCAUCAGCAUCAUGCAGACUUGCCCUCGCUGUGAGCAUUCCUAUUGCAAGUAUCCGGCCACCAACCUUCACUUGUCGGCGGCAACAGCUUUCACAGGCUCAUCAUUUGUACAAAUACACAAGAUGCAUAUAAUGUCCGGGGCAUAAGCGAGCUUGGUGGAACAAGCUUGAUCUGAAGUGAAAUAGAAAGAUGAACCCAGCGUUCAGGUUGGAUCCACCAGGCUAAUCAUAAUCAGUGCUCUGUGUGUGUGUGACCGACCAGUAUCUUUGAUGAGGGGCCAGGAGCUGAUCUAUGCUGCUAUGCCCAUCAAAGGGGCUCUGGCAAAGACCUCACCUCCAGCCUCACCUCUUGCCUGCUCACCAACGGUCGUUGAUAGAGAGAACAGAAUUAGAAACAUGAAUGGAGCCAGCACAUGAAGACUUGCAAGAUGAUGAGAUGAAGUCCAGACUGACAGAUGAGCUUGAUACAGAUGUCUCUGAAUGGAGAGAGAUCUUGCACUCGGCAUAAACAUUUUACUAGAAACAUUCUUUUACUUGUAUUGUCUUUUUUAAAAUGAUUGCAUUGAAUGGUGUCAGUCAAUAUGGGGAGGGAGAAACCCUGUGUAAUUCUGCAUCUGAUCAGGGAACUCCUGUUGCAUAUGGGAUUUCACACAGGAAGGUAUGACCACUCUGACAUGUUUGCCAAGGUAGCCCCACUACCACUUGACAGGCUGAUAGGCACAGUAUCUGUAUCGACUGGGAAUGACAAUGAAAGGUGCUCAUUGUUAUGUUAGCAGAACACUGCUUCUACGGUAUUAUGUAAAGGGUUGUUUAUUCUACAUGGAACUGUUGCUACAUUUUAAACGUUAUCAAAACACUUAGUUUAAAAUGUAUACAUGCAUUCAGCAAUUGCAUUCUUCUCGUUAUUACUCUAUAGGCUACUGACCUAUUCAAAGUUUUCUCCGUCAUCUCCUCACGCAUCUGUAGUUAUUCAACUCAACCUCCAGGAGGUUUGUUGAGAUUGAGUGGGAGGAAACGGCUGCGGGCAAGGUUCUGACAGAUGGUUGUGUCCUGGUGGUGGAAAGGGCCCACGUAAGAAACACCCACAUCAAACCACACCCCCAAGCCAACUCAAGUUUGUUUUCUGUCAUAGCCGCAGGCAUUUCUUGAGGAGUGUCACGAAUACGCCUGGAGUCAGGAAGCAGGUGCAGAACGUGAGUUUAAUAAUGAUAAAUGCAGAUAAAUAAAACAAGUGUACAGAACGUGAAUCAAAUCAAACCAAUACUGCCUGAUGACUGAGGCUACCGAGGGCUAAAUAAAGGGACGGUAAUCAAGUUGAUGAAGUCCAGGUGUGCAUAAUGAUGGGGAGCAGGUGUGCAUAAUAAUGGUUGCCAGGGCCUGUGGUUAGUUGACUGGUAAUGUCAAUCACUGGAGAGGGUGAGUGGGAGUAUGCAUGACAGUACCGGGCCCCUCCCCCAGUCGGUCCUGGCAGUGACUCCUUAAGAACCUCCCCAGCUCCUGGUCGGUACUCUCCACCUGCCCGUUGGACCAAGGCCGGUACCCGAAUGCGAGGCUGGCCAUGGCCUCCAGCUUCUCCAUGAAGGCUCUCCAUACCCGCGAUGUGAAUUGGGGGCCAUGGUCAGAGACGACGUCCUACAGAAGGCCAUAGUGCUGGAAGACCUGCUGGAACAGUGCCUCUGCCACCUGGAGAGCGGUAAGGAGACCAGAGAGAGGGAUAAAACGGCAGGAUUUGGAAAAUCUGUCCACAAUAACCAUAACAGUGGUGAAACCAUCAGAUGGGGGGGAGAUCAGUAACAAAGUCUAUGGACAGAUGGGACCAAGGCCGCUGAGGCACAGGAAGGGGAAGUAGUUUCGCUGCUGGAGCGUGCCGGGGAGAUUAGUUUGUACGCAUACAUGGCCGCCCCUCUGUCAUAGUGGACCCCGGGUUGGAACGCACCAGACACCACUGAAGCUGGUGCCCCUCCUGGCCGCAAUAAGAACAGAGCCCCAGCUGUCUCCGGCAAUGCCGCUCUA